rnacentral:lncRNA from 1 species
AAGACAAGCUUCGCUUGAAAACGGCGCGCGCGGAGCGGGUGAGGAGGAGAACCUGUCAAGCAGCUGUGGGUGAAGAGGGUUUCCGGCUACCAGCUGCGGGUGA